AUUGAACGCUGGCGGCAGGCCUAACACAUGCAAGUCGAACGAGUGGCGGACGGGUGAGUAAUGUCUGGGAAACUGCCUGAUGGAGGGGGAUAACUACUGGAAACGGUAGCUAAUACCGCAUACCAUCGGAUGUGCCCAGAUGGGAUUAGCUGGUUGGCGGGGUAACGGCUCACCAAGGCGACGAUCCCUAGCUGGGCUGAGAGGAUGACCGGCCACACUGGAAUGGAGAAACGGUCCAGACCCCUACGGGAGGAAGCAGUGGGGAAUAUUGCACAAUGGGCGAAAGCCUGAUGCAGCAAUGCCGGGUGUAUGAAGAAGGCUUUCGGUUUGUAAAGUACUUUCAGCGGGGAGGCGUUACCCGAAGAAGAAGCACCGGCUAACUCCGUGCCAGCAGCCGCGGUAAUUC
rnacentral:rRNA from 1 species